rnacentral:tRNA from 1 species
GCCAGCAUGGCAUAGUGGUUUGAGUGUUAGACUAUGCCUCUGGAGACCAGGGUUUGAAUCCCUACUUGGCC